AACGAACGCUGGCGGCAGGCUUAACACAUGCAAGUCGAGCGCCCCGCAAGGGGAGCGGCAGACGGGUGAGUAACGCGUGGGAACCUACCCUUUUCUACGGAAUAACGCAUGGAAACGUGUGCUAAUACCGCAUACGCCCUACGGGGGAAAGAUUUAUCGGAGAAGGCAGGGCCCGCGUUGGAUUAGCUAGUUGGUGGGGUAAAGGCCUACCAAGGCGACGAUCCAUAGCUGGUCUGAGAGGAUGAUCAGCCACAUUGGGACUGAGACACGGCCCAAACUCCUACGGGAGGCAGCAGUGGGGAAUAUUGGACAAUGGGCGCAAGCCUGAUCCAGCCAUGCCGCGUGAGUGAUGAAGGCCCUAGGGUUGUAAAGCUCUUUCACCGGAGAAGAUAAUGACGGUAUCCGGAGAAGAAGCCCCGGCUAACUUCGUGCCAGCCGCCGCCGUAAAAC
rnacentral:rRNA from 1 species